AUUGAACGCUGGCGGCAUGCUUUACACAUGCAAGUCGAACGGUAACAGGGAGCUUGCUCCGCUGACGAGUGGCGAACGGGUGAGUAAUGCGUCGGAACGUGCCGAGUAGUGGGGGAUAACGCAUCGAAAGGGGUGCUAAUACCGCAUACGUACUGAGGUAGAAAGUGGGGGACCUUCGGGCCUCACGCUACUCGAGCGGCCGACGUCUGAUUAGGUAGUUGGUGAGGUAAAGGCUCACCAAGGCGACGAUCAGUAGCGGGUCUGAGAGGAUGAUCCGCCACACUGGGACUGAGACACGGCCCAGACUCCUACGGGAGGCAGCAGUGGGGAAUUUUGGACAAUGGGCGCAAGCCUGAUCCAGCCAUGCCGCGUGUCUGAAGAAGGCCUUCGGGUUGUAAAGGACUUUUGUCCGGGAGCAAAUACCUGGUGUUAAUAGCAUCGGGAGCUGAGAGUACCGGAAGAAUAAGCACCGGCUAACUACGUGCCAGCAGCCGCCGUAAUAC
rnacentral:rRNA from 1 species